UCCAGAGGCUCACUAGUUAUUAGAGAGAGGAUAUACAUGUACACACACUGCAGGCUAUACGUACAUCUGCGGAAGCCAUGCUCAGGAAUGAUAACAACAUAUAAAACACUCAAGUCUUCAUAUGCCUUAAGUUAUGACUUCUGAUUAUUUAAAAUCAUGAGAAGAUAACUGGAUAAAGGUCCAUGACAUGGAGUCCUUAUUUGGAAUAUGAUAAAAGAACAUUCAAGGACAAACGCAUUUCUGGCCCUAAAUUUCCCUUCACUUCAUUCAAUUAUCUACAAACCUAUCCUUUUUUUCCUCCUCAUAAUAUAUGACAUCAAAUUUCUAUGCAUUAAGUGAAACUUCCCUCCGCUGGGGAAAGACCUCCACUUUCUCAGCCAUGCAGUGGCAAAAUUCCAUUGGGCCUGGCUUUUUCUCCAUUAAUCUAAUGCAGAUAUUGAUUUAAAUUUCCAGUGCACUAUGUGACAUGCAUUAUGUCCCCCACUAAACAAAAAGUAAAACCAUUCAUUGUACUCAAAACAGUCUGGGAAGGUGAUUUCACCUUCUUCUUCCCACAGAGGAACCUAUUCAGGCCUCUCCUCCAUCAGGAGACAGACACCUUGCAGGCACCCUCUGAAGAUCAAGACAUGAAAUGUGCAACCCAGGAUGGUCAACUAUACGUGCAAAAUCAGUCAGAUGGAACAGGAACCUGGAGUGUAAAACGUGACCCAUGCUCCACACCCAACCGAAAAAUAAAAUAAUAAAAAAAAAUUGCCUUUGAUAAAGCUCUGUAGUACAGAGAAGUGCGUGCCAAGGACUUCCUCAAACCCAAUGAAGUUGAUGAAAAGACCCAUUGCCAUUAACACACUUUGAACCAGACCAAAGGACUUUCUAGAAUAUUUCACGAGUAACGAAGCUAAAAAUGAGUAGCUGGAAAGGCUUAAGGGCGACAGGGACCUUUUAAAAUGUGGUGGUAGAAAACCAAACAUGCAAGCAAGCAAACUGAGAAAGACAGUGACCAUCUGCCACACAGAGCGGGGAUGCAGCCGUCGAUCCACUUCUCGUACCGAAGCAGACCCGCGGUGGGCCCCAGGAAGAUCUCGGGGCAGGAUCCCGCGGGCAGGAGGAAGGCUGCCCUUCUCUCCCUCUGUCACCUCGCAGCGUGUCCUUCUUGCUUCAGCCUGGUGAUAGGGCUUCAGCCUGAAAGCCCUCAUGUGCAAGCUUGAAAACAGUGAUAAGAGCAUUACUUUAGCUUCCCUUAAAAAAAGGAGUUGAUCAAGCCAAGGACACGGUAAAAAAUAACUAUAGAAAGAAUUAGGAAAAAAAAAAGGAAUGGAUAUAUUUCUUCAUCACUGCAUUCAAGGAAGCUCACCUAGUCCUUGGGUGCUCGUGGAGUUGCACAAAACCCAGAAAAUGCCUGGUAGGUACCUCCCCACCUGCGCAAGAAUGGGAAUUUGAUGUUUGUGGCUGCUGGUGGUGUGAUGGACGUUGCCAGGAGCAACUGGAUGCUUUGGAGGGUCAGGCUGGUCCUGUAAGGUGCUGAGCCACCUGGUCAGGGGUGUUGGGAACCUUGCAGGAUCAGGCCCUUAAUGUCUGUAUUUGAUAAGCAGUCACAGCAAAAAGGCUAUACUAAGAUAUUCAUCCAAACAUGGGGAAACAAAAAUCACUAUAAUUAGCCGUAGAUGUGGCAUUUUUAGCAUAAAUGGGAAAACCCAGCAUUUAAUACGUAGCACAAGGUUCAUUUGCAGCCAUAUAAUCGCUGUCAGCUAAUGCCUGAUAAACCCUGCCUCAAUUGGAAUUUUAUUAUAUCUAUUUUAUUAUAUAUCUAUAUUUAUUCUGACAAAAGUUGGACAAACUUGUCCAAAAGACUAGGGGUCCAUUUUAUGUGCUUGGGUGUCCAAGCACCUGCCAGCUGUUUGUCCCUUGAAUUGAGGACAUCAUGUUUUCAAUUUCCUUCAAUAAAGCUAUGAAUCUGGCAAUUUGCUGGCCUGCUUCAGCUAAACAGAAAGGACAAUUUGAGAAAGAUCAUAGUUCAGGCUCAGUCAGACGGAAACGAUUGAAAACAGAGAGCUGGCCGCUAUGUUUCCCCAAUGCAGCUUGCUGUCGCAGUUUGACUGACAAACUGACUUUUUUGAGGUGCUCAUGCCCAUUUCAGUCAGAGUUUAUUGAAGGUGAUUUUGAUCUUCUCCAUGAGGCCACAGCAGCGGCCAUGCCAUCUGUCACCUUGAUUGCAUCGUGGAUUCUCUGGAGAGAGUGCGAUGGCUCCUGAUCAUUUACAGAUUGUGCUGCUUUCGCCUCCAUAAGGACCACAUGCACAGAGCCAGAUGGUGAACAUACACGCUUAUUAUAAGUCUUUAUCUCUGCGCAGGAAGGAGAGGCACCAUUAGAUCUCCCUCAGGAGCUCCGCUCCUCUCUACCAUCAUGCUGCUCUUCAGCAAAUACAGUCUUCUUCAGCUGUCAUCAACCUACCUCUGAAAAUUAAAAAAAUAAACAAUAAUUCCAUCAGCACAGGCACGAGACGUACAGACACUGCCACAAAGCAGCUCCCCCCCCCUCGGCACACACAUACGCUCGGGCUCCCAUGACUGUCAGCGUUAGGUGGAAACAAGUUUGUUCGCAAAAAGACAGUUAAUGUGCAAUUAGGAGAGACUUCUUUGUGAAAAUAAAGCAAUGCCAUCCUGGUUGUUC